AACGAAAGUAAUUCUANNNNNNNNNNNNCACGAUAGCUAAGAUCCAAACUGGGAUUAGAUACCCCACUAUGCUUAGCCCUAAACCUAAAUAAUUUAACAACAAAAUUAUUUGCCAGAGAACUACUAGCAACAGCUUAAAACUCAAAGGACUUGGCGGUACUUUACAUCCAUCUAGAGGAGCCUGUUCUAUAAUCGAUAAACCCCGCUAUACCUCACCAUCUCUUGCUAAUUCAGCCUAUAUACCGCCAUCUUCAGCAAACCCUAAAAAGGCAUUAAAGUAAGCACAAGAAUACACAUAAAAACGUUAGGUCAAGGUGUAGCCAAUGAGAUGGGAAGAAAUGGGCUACAUUUUCUUUUACAAGAACAAACGAAACCCUUUUUGAAAUUAAAGGAUAAAGGAGGAUUUAGUAGUAAAUUAAGAAUAGAGAGCUUAAUUGAAUAGAGCAAUGAAGU
rnacentral:rRNA from 1 species